AAAUAAUUCAAUAUUAAAAUUAUAGCAUAAAAAUCCUGACUAUUCGUGUGCAUAUGUUAUACUUCAUACCACAGGGGACGUUAAAGGACACGGGUUAACUUUCACACUAGGAAAAGGAACAGAAGUCGUUAUUUCUGGUAUAAAAGCGUUGAGCAGUUAUGUCAUUGGUGAGUCCAUUGGGGUGAUUUUCAAAGAUUUUUCCUCAUACUGGAGGAAACUAACAAGCGACAGCCAACUGAGAUGGAUAGGGCCAGAGAAAGGUGUCAUGCAUUUGGCAACAGCAGCUAUAAUAAAUGCCCUUUGGGACCUGUGGGGAAGGAUUGAGAGUAAACCCGUAUGGAAACUGCUGUCCGACCUCAGCCCAGAGCAGCUUGUGUCUGUCAUUGAUUUUAGAUACAUAACUGAUGUUAUUUCCAAGGAAGAAGCAGUACAAAUGUUGAAAGAUGGUAUGAAAGAGAGGCCGGCAAGAGAAGCCGAAUUAUUAACAAACGGCUACCCUGCAUACA